rnacentral:lncRNA from 1 species
GUCUCCGACGAAUGGGUGUUCAGUGUUCACCGACUGGCCACAAUCGGCGCUCUCGCCCCCGACUGAUUCCGAUUCUGAAUCUGAUUCCACCUCGCAAUCAGGACCAGACGCCAGCACCUCGCGCUCUCAUUUUUGUCCACGUCGCUGGCGCUCGCACUUGGCACCCGGCUAAGCUGAAACUCACCGUCGCGGAAUAACUAAUAGACGCGUCCACAGUCACAACGUCCAACCUCGCCGUUGUCCCUGUUGACGCUCGCGCUCGUCCCUAACCUCUCGCGGAGUGCGCGCUCGCCUCGCCAAGCGCCAUGCGGUUACCUAUCGAUUAGUUACCGUUUUGUUACCGAUCGGAACCGUAGUUAUACCGGCUCCGCGUGUGAUUUCAGUGCUGCGUUUAGUUCGUCGACCGCCAUGAAGUUCCAGCUCGUAGUAUUCCAGUUGAUAUGCCUGACCGUGGCUUGGGCAAGAACCGCCGUGGAAGAUGAUUUGGAGGAGGCCCCUGUUCAACCCUUUAAACCAGUCAAGCCAAAUCCACUGAAGUCAAGCAAGAGUAUCCCUGUUCCUACCAAAAAGACUACAACUCCACCGCCGGUAUGUACAGAUAAAAGCUGUGAAGCAAAACAACUUCUCUAUUCUUGAUCGCUAAAUUUAAAGCUCGUGGCUGUUUCUUAUUUGGAAGCAUGUCUACCAACCGGAGCUGUAAGCAUUAAGACAUGAGCCCUGAGACCCAUAAAUAUAUAUGCAUAACAGGGCUCACGUCAUAAUACACAUAGUUCCGUUUGGAAUGAAUACGUCCAUUUUAAAAUAAUGAGACAGCUGCAUUCCGAAAGUGAGGGUAUGGAUUCUAUCGACGUGAAUCAAUCGAAAAAUGAAAACGUGAAUCAAUCGACACCGAUUUGAUCGAAAAAUUAUGAAAUUGUCGAUGGGAUCGACUUGAAUCGAAAGAAACGUUAAAACGUGAACCGAUCGACACCAAUUUGAUCGACAUAAUUCGAUCGAUUCACGGAGUUGUCAAUCGAAUCACGUCGAUCGGUUCACGUUUUAUAUUUUUCAUCGAUUCAUGUCAAUCGAAUCAACACCGGUUUUUUGAUAUUUUGUCGAUUGAAUUGGUGUCUAUCUAUUAAACGUUUUCAUCUUUCGAUCGAUUCAUGUCGAUGGAAUCUAUACUCUCCCUUUGAAAGAUAGAACGCAUAAUACGUACAAAUAAAAAAGAAGAACCAUGACUGCGGUAUCUCAAACUUUCAGCUGAGGGAAACGCCCGCACAUGUUUAACAGGCCACACGCUAUACACUUGCGCGCUCCUUUGUUAUACAGGCGCUCGUGAACGUCUCGAGUAAGUGCGACUGUGUAAUAGUUCGCUUUUUUGCCGUUAGUCAGCGCUGAGCCCACGAUACGACGAUGUGUGGAGAAUAUUGUCAUCUCUAGACCGCUCUCCGAUUGGUUCAUCAGUUUUAGGCUAUCAUGGGGCUCUAAAAUUGGCUCAAUGUAAACAAACCCGACCUAGAGGAACACAUAUUAUCGGCUGAGAAAUUAAUGAUAAUCGGUUAAUUUUUCGCAAAAAUAUCCAUCAAAGUUUGAUCCGAACUCAAUUCAUAAGUUGAUGAUAAAAAAACUUCUAUCGCAUCCAAAAUCACGUCAAAAACUUUGUAAAACUUUGUCGCCAUCUUGUUUGUUAACAUUGGGCCAAAACUAGGAGCGGAGGGGCUGGGGUUUGUUCACAUUGGGCCAAAUUUUGGGCUCUAUGAUGGCAGAACAAUCAGAUAGGUGCAUACUUUUUCUGUAGUAAAGAGAUUGAGAUGGCAAAUACUCUCCCGUAUACAGGUAUACUCUAGUAGAAACUU